rnacentral:rRNA from 1 species
GACGAACGCUGGCGGCGUGCUUAACACAUGCAAGUCGAGCGGUAAGGCCCUUUCGGGGUACGACGAGCGGCGAACGGGUGAGUAACACGUGGGUGACCUGCCCUCCAGCUCUGGGAGUAAGACCCGGGAAACCGUAGGGUCGUAAUACCGGAUAUGACUCCAUGACGCAUGUUGUGGGGUGGAAAGCCUUGUGCGGCUGAGGAUGGGCCCGCGGCCUAUCAGCUUGUUGGUGGGGUGAUGGCCUACCAAGGCGACGACGGGUAGCCGGCCUGAGAGGGCGACCGGCCACACUGGGACUGAGACACGGCCCAGACUCCUACGGGAGGCAGCAGUGGGGAAUCUUGCGCAAAUGGGCGAAAGCCUGACGCAGCGACGCCGCGUGAGGGAUGACGGCCUGGU